CAGCUCGCGUUGAUACGUCCCUGUCCCCUUUGUACACACCGCCCGUCGCUCCUCCGAUUGAAUGAUCCGGUGAAGUGUUCGGAUCGCGGCGCGUGGGCGGUUCGCUGCCCGCGACGUCGGCGAGAAGUCCACUGAACCUUAUCAUUUAGAGGAAGGAGAAGUCGUAACAAGGUUUCCGUAGGUGAACUGCGGAGGAUCAUUG
rnacentral:ncRNA from 1 species